GAGGAAAAGGAAACAAAAGGCGUUCAGUCCGACCUUGUCUCUUUGAUAUGCUCUGUUCUUUUUUUUUCUUUACUAUAAUUAGUUUUAAAAAGGGAGGGAGGGAAGAAGAUGUGUGUUUUGUUUGGGUGAACGUCCUACUUAACCCGCUCCGCCGUCUCCGAUCGCACUAGUCGCGGUGUAGGCACAAGUAAUGCGCGCCGCAGGUUAGAGUGGUGCCCAGCUGCUUUUCAAACUUCACGCGACUAAUAAGAAAACAUGGCAUCAAUCAUUUAGAGACGGGACUGCGAAGACUGCGACUCGGUAGACGGUCCAAAGGAGUGAAAUCAAUUGGAUUACAACACUGCAUAUACUGUGAAUAUGAAGGAGAUGGGAACAAAUGUGCUUUUGGGUAGAGGUGUUGUCUUUGGAAGCAUUUAGCACCCAGACAGGUUGAUCCGGUCCCAAGGGCUUGGCACAACUCCAGCAAUGUGGCAGUAGCUGGUGUGGCUGAACGACAAAACAUCAUGGCUCAUAUAGUAUGUAAGCAUAGGAAAAUUGCAGAGAAACUGACCAAUGAAGGGCAACUGACUCCAGUCCCUGGAGCAUACAAGUAUGACUAUCUUGAAUGAGACAGCACUUCUUUCCUGAGCGACCAAUACGAAGGAGCUCCUCAAUUAUCCAACAGCAGAUGAAAUAGCCUUUGUUAUUCUAUCUACGUUAUUCUGGUGGUAAUAGGUUUUAAUUUUUCAUGCCAUUGAGUGUUGUUUUUGUUUACACCUUUAAGUAAAUGGGGAUGGCUGGGUUGGCACCCCAAAAUUUA